CCAAUAGCGUAUAUUAAAGUUGUUGCAGUUAAAAAGCUCGUAGUUGAAUUUUGGAUUCUACCAAUCGGUCCAUCUUUUGAUGAGUACUGGUUGUGUGGGGUCUAUCCGCCUGGUAAUACGUAAUGUCCUUUAUUGGAUGUUGCGGGUAGUCAGGACCUUUACCUUGAAAAAAUUAGAGUGUUUAAAGCAGGCUUAUGCCGGAAUACAUUAGCAUGGAAUAAUAGAAGAGGAAGAAUUUGUUUUAUUUUGUUGGUUUCUAGGACAACCGUAAUGAUUAAUAGGGAUAGUUGGGGGCAUUAGUAUUCAAUUGUCAGAGGUGAAAUUCUUGGAUUUAUUGAAGACUAACUAUUGCGAAAGCAUUUGCCAAGGAUGUUUUCAUUAAUCAAGAACGAAAGUCAGAGGUUCGAAGGCGAUCAGAUACCGCCCUAGUUCUGACCGUAAACGCUGCCGACCGGCGAUCCGCUGUCGUUACUUGAAUGACUCAGCGGGCAGCCUCCG
rnacentral:misc_RNA from 1 species